CCGCCCCCUCAGCCCCGCACCGCCAGCCCCACCGCGGAGACCCCUCCGAGCGCUGCGGCGGCCUCGGUGUGAGGGGAUGCGCUGCCGGCUCCGCCUCUCUGCGGGCUCGCCGAGGAGCGGCGGGAUCCCCAGGGCCACAAAGAUGAUGUGGUCAAAUCAUGGCCUCGGAGAAGCCUCAAAGAUCUCCUGAGAAGAUGACCAGGGGAAGGGGGUUGGUAUCAGCCACGGUCUCCUGAGGCGGUUCCUCAGCUACACCACGGUCACCACGGAUCUCCUGAGGUGGUUCGUAUUCAGUGCGGGGAUGGAGAGAAAACUAACUGUGGGUAAGAUGCCAACAACCACAAAAGCUGUCGGAAUGCGGUUGUCCAAAGAACAAGGCAACGGGAUGGUCAAAGACCACACGAACUAUCAGGUCGGCCAUCUGCUGAAGCAGAGCCAAAGGCGUGUCAGAGCAGGGGAAAGCUCUGUGGGGAACCACAGCCUCCACGGCAGCACGCACAAUCCAAAGAUACAACAGCGCAGGGAAGAGAAAAAGGAAGAGCCCACACUCAGGAUCAUGGCAACUGUUAUGUCAAAUUAUCGAGCCAGUCUUCAGGAUAAACCCCAAUUAUAACCCGCAGCUACGAGCAGAUGUGUGGGGCAGCAGGCAGCAAGACCGAGAGGCCAGUUCGGGGAGUCUGUUGGGAAACUGAUAGGGGCCAGGUGGUUGACUGUUGAUAUCCAUGGCCUUGAACUUAACUCAGCAUUUUGUAGAAACAUUGAGAACACAUGCAGGACAUUUGUGGCCGUGAGAAGGAGGGCUUGAUCUAACAAACCUCACUCUUUUGCCUGUAUACUGAUAACAUGGUCAGGUUCCCUGAUGGAAUUCACCACAGGGCCACACAGAUGCUUGUGCUUCCCCAAGGCUGUAGGAGACAGGGAAAGGUGGGCUGCUAACUGCAGGGCCUGGUCAUUGUGGCUUAAAUUACUUUUCCAGUCAACAGUGUCAGGUAGAGGGAGAAAAAUAUGCCACAUACAGAGAAAGGCUCUUAAAAUUAAUGAUUUUUAAAAAUAGUAGUUCUUCAAAUAACUUGUGUGAAUCUCUGAGGAUGACAGGUAUUCUGGAAUUGAGGGUUUAGAAGUGAUAAAGAUAGAUAUUGAAGGGUAUUCUGGCAAAUUGUAAGCACUUCGGUGCGCUGGCUCGCAUUUUGCUAAUGGGUCUUCGUGCUGCAGAGCUGUGUUCAGCUGUCUGCAUCUCACCGAGCUACCACUUGGAAAUAAUUCAGCGCAACGUUGUUCAGACCAUUUUAAACUUCAUCCAAACUAAAAAAGAUGGCUACAAAUUAACAGAGCAAGAAAUCUCGCAUAAGUGCUAAAAAUAGCAUAAAUGCUAAUCUAAAGGUAGGCAGGACCACGCUAUUUUCAUCUCCACUUUAGAAAGCGUUUCUGGCACGAAAUCCCAGCCCCAUUGAAAUUUUGAGGGCUUUUUUCAAUCCAGCCAGGAUUCUACCCUUGAAGUUUGUUUCACUGUAAGUGGCCUAUAUGAAGUGUAUUUGGGCUUUGGAGAGCACUUAACCACCCUCAAAUCUAGCACCAGCCGUCUCUGUUGGUCACUGCUGCCCAGCUGUCCGUCCAACGGACCUGUUGGGUAUCAAACAGACCGCAAGAAGCUGAUGCAGCCGCCUUCCACCUCCUGAUACGUUGCUACUCCAAGUCCUUUCCCACCAGACCCUCCUGCUGGUCCCAGGGUCUCCCCCACACACCGCAGCUCAUCCAGCUGCAUCACACCAAGGGAGGUUAGCAAACCCCUCUUGGCCCUGUUGCUCCAGCCCUGUACUCGAAACAGCCUGAACUUGAACCAGACAACAGCUGUCCAGUACAUUUUGUGUAUAACACAAAGACAAAAAUGCAAACAUCAAAGUAAGACAAGGCCUGCUCCAUAAGACAAACGAGGAAACUUAACCCAUCAACUGGGAAAUAAAGAGGAAAUAAAGGAAACAGUCAAAGAGGUCCUAACAUUUUAUUACUACUUAUGGUAACUGUUCUUUAUGCUAUAUAGGCCUUGACUAACAGAAAUCUACAAGUCUUUGCAGCACUAAGUAUUAUUGUGUCUUUGAAAACACAUACAUGCACUAAUAUAUCACUAUAUACACACAGGUGCAUUAAUUGUAUUCAAAUAAAGGAUCAUAGAUGUACCUUAAUGAAGAAGUUUUAAAUAUACUGUAGCUAAGCAUUCUUUUUUGGAGGAAAAUUAAAAAAUCACCUUUGUAAAACUGCUACAUUUCCAGAGAGUGUUCUGGUUACAACAGUAGCUCUUGAAUUUUAGUGAGAGUACCUACUUCUCGAUGCCUGAAGAUUUAAAUAACAUUUUAUAAUGUACAUUUCAAACACUGUUCAUCUUUGCAAGGUGUUUGUAAGAGCUGCUGGGUAGGCCAAUAUAAAAAUCUCACCCCACUCACUAAAGUAAAUUAUGAAGGGCAUAGAAUGUAGUAACUGCAUUUACUGAAACACACAAUAAUGCAAAAUAUGCUUAAUUACUUUGCAGUCUCCUGGAAAUACUACUAGACCCCUUAGAAGAUAUAAUCCCAAAUUUCAUUAUAUACUGUAUUAAGCUAGGCAAAGCUGAAACAUAAUUUAAUUACAGAACCAGUCAUGUUACAGUAGUUCACAAAAAGAGGUCUCUGUACAGCCAGUUGCGUUUUCCUCAUUGUCCUUUGUCAUGGGAUUUAACUACUGAAAAGAGCAAAUAUAUUUAAUGAGUCGUUUUUAUGGCAUGUUAUUUACAAAGGCCCAUCAUUAAAUGAAUAUAGUUACUUUUACAAGCAUCACUUGCUCAAUUACCAACUGUUCCAAAAAUGUUAAGUCAUACCUAGAUGUUGGGUUUAACUACAUGAUGUCAAUGAAUUUACCUUUGUCAUUGAAAACACACAACCAGGAGUAUCUUUCCCACUUUGUUCUGGUCAUUGUGAUGACUUCAAGAGCUGCUGUUGAAGGAAAUUACAUACUUUCAUGAUCUUUACUUCAAUAUAUGUGAUGGUGAAAUAAAAGAACAUCUCAGGGCUCUGAA